rnacentral:tRNA from 2 species
AAGACAUUAGUAAACCCGCAAAUUACAUCACUUUGUCAAAGUGAAAUAGCAGGUUAAACCCCUGCAUGUCUUA